CACGUAGUUAGCCGUGGCUUCCUCCUCAGGUACCGUCAUUAUCGUCCCUGAAGACAGAGCUUUGCAAUCCGAAGACCGUCAUCACUCACGCGGCGUUGCUGCAUCAGGGUUUCCCCCAUUGUGCAAUAUUCCCCACUGCUGCCUCCCGUAGGAGUCUGGGCCGUGUCUCAGUCCCAAUGUGGCCGAUCACCCUCUCAGGUCGGCUACGCAUCGUCGCCUUGGUGAGCCGUUACCUCACCAACUAGCUAAUGCGACGCGGGUCCAUCUCAUAGCGGAUUACUCCUUUAAUUGCUAUGCCAUGCGGCACUACAAUCUUAUGCGGUAUUAAUCUUCUUUCGAAAGGCUACUUCCCCUCUAUGAGGCAGGUUACCCACGUGUUACUCACCCGUCCGCCGCUAAUCCGCUCCCGAAGGAGCUUCAUCGCUCGACUUGCAUGUGUUAAGCACGCCGCCAGCGUUCGUCCUGUACGCCGAGGAGUCAAACUCGUA
rnacentral:rRNA from 1 species